CCACUGUCAGGAAGCCACUCACAGUCGCAGCACACUUGGAGUGACUCUGGAGACCCGCACCCGGCCGGCUCAGCUAGUCAGCAUGGCGGGGGAGACGGUGCUGGUCACCGGCGCCAGCGGCUUCAUCGGCUCGACCCUCGUCCGCCUCCUCCUCGGCCGCGGCUACAACGUCCACGCCGGCGUCCUCAACCCCGAUGACGGGGCGGAGACGGAGCACCUGCUCGCCAUGGCCGCUGGCGCUGGCGCUGGCGAGGGCCGCCUCCGCAUCUUCCGUGGCGACCUCCUUGACGACGCCGCGCGGGGCUGCUCGGGCGUCUUCCACCUCGCGUCGCCCUGCACCGUCGACCCCGUCAGCGACCCCCAGAAGCAACUGAUAGUGCCGGCAGUGGAAGAACGGGUGACCCGCCGGCGAUCUCCGCGACGAGCGCUGCUGGACUGACAUCGACUACUGCAAGAAGAACGGGGUUUGGUACCCUGUUUCCAAGACGCUGGCAGAGAAGGCAGCGUGGAGGUUUGCAGAGGAGAACGGGCUGGACGUGGUUGUGGUUAAUCCAAUGUCUGUCCUGGGCCAGAUAAUCCCACCGACCAUCAAUUCUAGCAUGUCCGUCCUUCUACGCCUCCUUCAAGGCUGCACAGAGGAGUACAAGGAUAUCUGGAUGGGGGUAGUCCACGUGGAAGACGUCGCCUUGGCCCAUCUCCUGGUGUUCGAGAACCCAUCAGCUUCCGGGAGGCACAUCUGCGCCGAGUCCAUCAGUCACCUGAGUGACUUCGCGGCCAAACUCGCCGAGCUCUACCCCAACAACAAAGUGCCCAAGUUCCCCAAGGACACCCAGCCUGGGCUGGUAAGAGCGGAGGCGGGAGUGGCGUCGAAGAAGCUCGUCGAGCUAGGGCUGCAGUUCAGCCCUCUGGAGAAGAUCAUCAGGGAUGCCGUGGAGAGCCUCAAGACCAAAGGGUACAUUUCGUAGCUAGCCGUGAGGGUGCUAUAAUGCCUUUCAUGAACCUUUUGAUUAUAUGAUUUGUAGUUGUAACUAGUAACAAAGAUGUCUUUCAUGAACCUUAAUAAUUGACAAUUUGUAAUUCUGGAAAGUGAGGUCGAAACUUAGAUAUCUCCUAUAAGGAGUUGCAACUAUGGAACCUGAAUACCUUGAUGAUUCGAAAAGGUUCAAAUUU